UAAUAUAUUUAAGGCAGAUCCUCAUAUAGCUAUGACAAACUCACACUUGACUGCUUAGAGUCACCCGUUAUCGCAGGCUCGACCAAAUCAUUCUCCCUGAGUUAGAGAGUACUCGUCUUUGAGUUUUGUU
rfam:Populus trichocarpa isolate Nisqually-1 chromosome 5, whole genome shotgun sequence.